GACGGAGGGGGCCAGCGUUGUCCGGAAUUACUGGGCGUAAAGCGCUCGUAGGCGGUCGCGUACGGCGGUGGUGAAAGCUCCCGGCUCAACUGGGAGAGGCCCGCCGCAACGGCGUGACUCGAGGGGGGGAGAGGCAGACGGAAUUCCUGGUGUAGCGGUGAAAUGCGUAGAGAUCAGGAGGAACACCCGUGGCGAAGGCGGUCUGCUGGGCCCGGCCUGACGCUGAGGAGCGAAAGCCAGGGGAG
rnacentral:rRNA from 1 species